ACAGGUGGAUGAGGAGAGAAUCCUAAGGCCGACGGGAGAAGCAUUGUUAAGGAACUCGGCAAAAUGACUCCGUAACUUCGGGAGAAGGAGUGCCAGCGAGAGCUGGCCGCAGAGAAUUGGCCCAAGCAACUGUUUAGCAAAAACACAGGUCUAUGCAAAACCGUAAGGUGAAGUAUAUGGGCUGACGCCUGCCCGGUACUGGAAGGUUAAGAGGAGAGGUUAGCGGCAACGCGAGGCUUUAAAUUUAAGCCCCAGUAAACGGCGGCCGUAACUAUAACGGUCCUAAGGUAGCGAAAUUCCUUGUCGGGUAAGUUCCGACCCGCACGAAAGGCGUAAUGAUUUGGGCACUGUCUCAACAAUGCACCCGGUGAAAUUGAAAUACCAGUGAAGAUGCUGGUUACCUGCGCCAGGACGGAAAGACCCCAUGGAGCUUUACUCCAGCUUGAUACUGGGAUUCGGUAUUGCAUGUACAGGAUAGGUGGGAGGCUAGGAAGUGAUAACGCCAGUUGUCACGGAGCCGCUGUUGGGAUACCACCCUUGCAGUAUUGGAUUUCUAACCAGCGACCAUGAACUGGUCGGGGGACAAUGUCAGGUGGGGAGUUUGACUGGGGCGGUCGCCUCCGAAAGGGUAUCGGAGGCGCUCAAAGGUUCCCUCAGAAUGGACGGAAACCAUUCGAAGAGUGCAAAGGCAGAAGGGAGCUUGACUGCGACACCGACGGGUGGAGCAGGUACGAAAGUAGGACUUAGUGAUCCGGUGGUAUAAAGUGGGAUUGCCAUCGCUCAACGGAUAAAAGCUACCCUGGGAUAACAGGCUUAUCACUCCCAAGAGUUCACAUCGACGGAGUGGUUUGGCACCUCGAUGUCGGCUCAUCGCAUCCUGGGGCUGAAGUAGGUCCCAAGGGUUGGGCUGUUCGCCCAUUAAAGCGGUACGCGAGCUGGGUUCAGAACGUCGUGAGACAGUUCGGUCCCUAUCCGGCGUGGGCGUAGGAUAUUUGAGAGGAGCUGUCCUUAGUACGAGAGGACCGGGAUGGACUGGCCGCUGGUGUAUCUGUUGCAUACCAAAUGCAUGGCAGAGUAGCCAAGCCGGGACGGGAUAAACGCUGAAGGCAUCUAAGCGUGAAGCCCCCCUCAAGAUGAGAUAUCCCUACGUAAGUAGUAAGACCCCUUGAAGACGACGAGGUAGAUAGGUCAGAGGUGGAAGUACAGUAAUGUAUGGAGCUGACUGAUACUAAUCGGUCGAGGGCAUGACCC
rnacentral:rRNA from 1 species